UGAACGCUGGCGGUAUGCUUAACACAUGCAAGUCGAGGGGAAACGAAACUAGCUUGCUAGUAGGCGUCGACCGGCGGACGGGGGAGUAACGCGUAGGAAUCUGCCUGAAAGGGGGGGAAAGCCCAGAGAAAUCUGGAUUAAAACCGCAAAAAAUCUAUGGAUUAAAGGGGAGGAUCUUCGGACUUCACGCUAUCAGAUGAGCCUGCGUAAGAUUAGUUAGUUGGGGAGGUAAAAGCUCACCUAGGCGACGAUCUUUAGCUGGUCUGAGAGGAUGAUCAGCCACACUGGAACUGAGACACGGUCCAGACUCCUACGGGAGGCAGCAGGGGGGAAAAUUGGACAAUGGGGGCAGCCCUGAUCCAGCAAAACCGCGGGUGGGAAGAAGGCCCGAGGGUUGUAAAGCACUUUCAAUUGGGAAGAAAAGUUAAUGGUUAAAACCCAUUAGCCUUGACGUUAACUUUAGAAGAAGCACCGGCUAACUCCGGGCCAGCAGCCGCGGUAAAACGGAGGGGGCAAGCGUUAAUCGGAAUUACUGGGCGUAAAGCGGGCGUAGGGGGUUUGUUAAGUCAGAUGGGAAAGCCCUGGGCUCAACCUAGGAACUGCAUUUGAAACUGGCAAACUAGAGUAUAGGAGAGGAAAGGGGAAUUUCAGGGGUAGCGGGGAAAUGCGUAGAAAUCUGAAGGAACAUCAAUGGCGAAGGCAGCUUUCUGGACUAAAACUGACACUGAGGCACGAAAGCGGGGGUAGCAAACAGGAUUAGAAACCCUGGUAGUCCACGCCGUAAACGAUGAAAACUAGCCGUUGGGGGGAUUUACCCUUUAGGGGCGCAGCUAACGCGUUAAGUUAUCCGCCUGGGGAGUACGGCCGCAAGGUUAAAACUCAAAGGAAUUGACGGGGACCCGCACAAGCGGGGGAGCAUGGGGUUUAAUUCGAUGCAACGCGAAGAACCUUACCUGGUCUUGACAAACACGGAACUUUCCAGAGAUGGAUUGGGGCCUUCGGGAACCGGGAAACAGGGGCUGCAUGGCUGUCGUCAGCUCGGGUCGGGAGAUGUUGGGUUAAGUCCCGUAACGAGCGCAACCCUUAUCUUUAUUUGCCAACACUUCGGGGGGGAACUAUAAAGAGACUGCCGGGGAAAAACCGGAGGAAGGCGGGGACGACGUCAAGUCAUCAUGGCCCUUACGACCAGGGCUACACACGGGCUACAAUGGGAAGGACAAAGGGUUGCUAAGCCGCGAGGGGGGGCUAAUCUCAAAAAUCUUCUCGUAGUCCGGAUCGGAGUCUGCAACUCGACUCCGGGAAGUCGGAAUCGCUAGUAAUCGGGGAUCAGAACGCCACGGGGAAAACGUUCCCGGGUCUUGUACACACCGCCCGUCAAACCAUGGGAGGGGGUUGCAAAAGAAGGGGGUAGGCUAACCUUCGGGAGGCCGCU
rnacentral:rRNA from 1 species